GAGUUUGAUCCUGGCUCAGGACGAACGCUGGCGGCGUGCUUAACACAUGCAAGUCGAGCGAAGUGCUUAGGAUGAUCUAUUCGUGGUGACUCCUAAGUAUCUUAGCGGCGGACGGGUGAGUAACGCGUGAGAAACCUGCCUUUCACAAAGGAAUAGCCUCGGGAAACUGGGAUUAAUACCUUAUGAUACCUAAGCUCCACAUGGAGCCUAGGUUAAAGCGUAAAGCGGUGAAAGAUGGUCUCGCGUCCCAUUAGUUAGUUGGUGAGGUAAAGGCUCACCAAGACCAUGAUGGGUAACCGGCCUGAGAGGGUGAACGGUCACACUGGAACUGAGACACGGUCCAGACUCCUACGGGAGGCAGCAGUGGGGAAUAUUGCACAAUGGAGGAAACUCUGAUGCAGCGACGCCGCGUGAAUGAUGAAGGUCUUCGGAUCGUAAAAUUCUGUCCUAGGGGACGAUAAUGACGGUACCCUAGGAGGAAGCCCCGGCUAACUAUGUGCCAGCAGCCGCGGUAAUACAUAGGGGGCAAGCGUUGUCCGGAUUUAUUGGGCGUAAAGGGUACGCAGGCGGUCCUUUAAGUCAGAUGUGAAAUCUUACGGCUCAACCGUAAUUAGCAUUUGAAACUGGAGGACUUGAGUUAAGGAGAGGAAAGUGGAAUUCCUAGUGUAGCGGUGAAAUGCGUAGAUAUUAGGAGGAAUACCAGUGGCGAAGGCGACUUUCUGGACUUAUACUGACGCUGAGGUACGAAAGCGUGGGGAGCAAACAGGAUUAGAUACCCUGGUAGUCCACGCUGUAAACGAUGAGUGCUAGGUGUCGGGGGUCAAACCUCGGUGCCGGAGUUAACGCAUUAAGCACUCCG
rnacentral:rRNA from 1 species